UGCAUGCAAUGUUUUUUUUUAAAUAUUUUGCUUCAUAUAGUUCACACUACAUUAUUGUGUCAUUUGACAUGUAACAGUCUUUUUGAUUAACAUUCAUUUACGGUACAAAAGGCAUUGAAAUUGUCAAUUAAAAUAAUUAUGGAAAUUUGUUGAAGAUGAAAGGGGUGUAUUUUUUAAAAAUGUAGCAAAUUACAGAACGUUGAAAAUUUUGAUGGUUGUCUACUUAUUAAAGUUUAUUUUAAUAACAACAGUUAUAAAACUGUUUUUGAAAAUGAAUUUUAAAGAAAGACUAAUCAAGUCCACAUGCUCCGAUCAACUCCAUCUUAGCCAUCCAUUUGUCAACCAUUGUUGGUUAAACUAUAAAUUCAGAGUAGGAAAAAAAUCAGUAAGACAGUGAAUCUCUAAGUUUUCACUUUAAACAGUAAGAUAUUGGUACACUGAGCAACUUACUAUGAAUUCAGAUAAUUCACUUGUUGCAAUACCCCUGCUCCAAUUAUCAGAAAAGGUUUGUGGUAAAAGAAAGGGUUAAAUUCAUUCAACUAAGUAUAUAGAUCAUACGAAACAACUCAUUAUAUAUAUUAUCACCUCAAUAUUACGCUUCAACUUCUCAAGACGCUGGUUGUCAAACUGUAAAGAAAAACUUGUAAAUAUGAAGAGGAGACGUCAUCAUGCUUAUGUAUCAAGGUUUGAUGUUAAGUAUUCUAAGUGAAAUUACAAUAUCUUAACUAAAAAGGAGUACUACUCAUUGUGUUUUUGCUUCAUGUAAACAUAUUUAUCUAGUUGGUGAGCAUGAAAAUAAAAGUCAAGAAAAUUUGUGUGAAUGUUGAAGAUGCAUGCA
rnacentral:lncRNA from 1 species